AAGCGAAUAAGUGCACAUGGUGGAUGCCUUGGCAGUCAUAGGCGAUGAAGGACGUGGUAGCCUGCGAAAAGCUACGGGGAGCUGGCAAACAAGCUUUGAGCCGUAGAUGUCCGAAUGGGGAAACCCACCCUUUUAGGGGUAUCGCACAGUGAAUACAUAGCUGUGCGAGGCGAACCUGGAGAACUGAAACAUCUAAGUACCCAGAGGAAAAGAAAUCAACCGAGAUUCCGAGAGUAGUGGCGAGCGAAAUUGGAACAGCCUGUACGAUUUAGCAUUUGAGUUAACAAAACGGUCUUGAAAGUCCGGCCAUAGAAGGUGAUAGCCCUGUAUGUGAAAACUCGAUUGUGGAACUAGGCGUACGACAAGUAGGGCGGGGCACGAGAAACCCUGUCUGAACAUGGGGGGACCAUCCUCCAAGGCUAAAUACUCCUGACUGACCGAUAGUGAACCAGUACCGUGAGGGAAAGGCGAAAAGAACCCCGGGAGGGGAGUGAAAUAGAACCUGAAACCGUAUGCGUACAAGCAGUGGGAGCCUACUUUGUUAGGUGACUGCGUACCUUUUGUAUAAUGGGUCAGCGACUUACAUUCAGUGGCAAGCUUAACCGAGUAGGGAAGGCGUAGCGAAAGCGAGUCCGAAUAGGGCGUCUAGUCGCUGGGUGUAGACCCGAAACCAGAUGAUCUAUCCAUGGCCAGGUUGAAGGUUGGGUAACAC
rnacentral:rRNA from 1 species